GCUUUCUAAUGGCAAAUUUGUCAGUGUAAUCUCAGAUGUUUUCAAGCAGCUAUUGCAAAUAAAAACAAAUAUUUUUCUAGCAAGUGUUCACAAUGGCAUUACAUCACUAUAUGUUAGUAGUACAGCACCAGUGACCUCUCAGCAACACAAAAAAUGAUCUAUCAAAUAUGACGGCAAAAACAACACUCAGACUUGAAAAUGGGCUGCUAAACUUGAUUUCUUAUUUGCCAUCCAAAUUUCC
rnacentral:misc_RNA from 1 species